AGCUCAACCGUUUGCGUGUAUCUAUAAUUGAGUAUGAUACACGUAAGCUGGUUUAGCUCA
rnacentral:pre_miRNA from 1 species